UUUAGUUAGAGUUUGAUCCUAGCUCAGGAUGAACGCUGGCGGCGUGGAUAAGGCAUGCAAGUCGAACGGACUUUAUUUUACCAAUGGUGCGAUUAUAUCAAAUCAAAGGUUGUUUAAAGUUAGUGGCGAACGAGGUAGUAAUACGCAGGAACUUCCCCCAAAGUCGUGAAUAAUCCGGAGAAAUCCGGACUAAUACACGAUGGUCUCGCAAGAGUAAAGAAUUUCGCUUUGGGAAAGGCCUGUGCGGUAUCAGCUAGUUGGUAGUGUAAAAGACUACCAAGGCUAUGACGCCUAGGGGAGCUGAGAGGCUGACCCCCACCGAUGGUACUGAGACACGGACCAUACACCUACGGGUGGCCGCAGUCGAGAAUCUUCCGCAAUGGGCGAAAGCCUGACGGAGCGACGCCGCGUGAUCGAUGAAGUCUUUCGGGAUGUAAAGAUCUUUUAUGAGGGAGAAAGUUUAUUGAUGUUACCUCAUGAAUAAGGGGUUGCUGAACUCGUGCCAGCAGCAGCGGUAAUACGAGUGCCCCAAGCGUUAUCCGGAAUCACUGGGUGUAAAAGGUGUGUAGGUGGCUGUGUUAGUCUCUUGUUAAACCUCUUGGCUCAACCAAGAAUCUGCGAGAGAUACGGCACAACUAGAGGGCGCGAGAGGUGAGUGGAACUUAUGGAGUAGGGGUGAAAUCCGUUGAUACCAUAGGGAACACCGAAUGCGUAGGCAACUCACUGGUGCGUUCCUGACACUGAGACACGAAAGCGUGGGUAGCGAAUGGGAUUAGAUACCCCAGUAGUCCACGCCCUAAACUAUGUUCUCUAGCUUUUCGGAGUAUCGACCCUCUGAGAGGCGAAGCUAACGCGUUAAGAGAACUACCUGGGGAGUACGGCCGCAAGGCUAAAACUCAAAGGAAUAGACGGGGACUUGCACAAGCAGUGGAUCAUGUGGUUCAAUUCGAUGACAAACGAAGAACCUUACCAAGAUUAGACAUCCAGACGAAGCAUCUAAGAAACUAGAUGCGCCUCACAAGGGCGGCUGGACAGGUGUUGCAUGGCCGUCGUCAGUUCGUGGUUUGAAUUGUUCCCUUAAGUGGGGUAACGAACGCAACCCUCGUUGCCUGUUAUAUUUUGUCAGGCGAGACUGCCCCCCACGACUUCUUAAAAAGAUUUGAGAAGUGGUGGGGGGGAGGAAGGCGAGGAUGACGCCAGGUCCGCAUGACCUUAGAUAUCUUGGGCUACACACAUGAUACAAUGGGCACUACAACGGGUCGCAAUGGAGUAAUCCGGAGCCAAUCCUUAUAAAGGUGUCCUCAGUUCGGAUUGAGGUCUGCAACUCGACCUCAUGAAGAUGGAAUUGCUAGUAAUCGCGGGUCAGCUAUACCGCGGUGAAUACGUUCUCAGGUCUUGUACUCACCGCCCGUCAAGUCAGGGGAGUUGGGGGUACCCGAAGCCUGCCCUCGCGGCAGUCCAAGGUAAAUUCAAUAACAAAGACUAAGUCGUAACAAGGCACGGGUAGCGGAAGCUGCUCGUGGAAUAUUUCAAAA
rnacentral:rRNA from 1 species